rnacentral:lncRNA from 1 species
GAAGUUUGAAACUCAAGGCGCAGAAUAUACUCCUUCCCCAAUAUUUCUGCAGCUAUUUUAUUGGGACCAAUAAUUUAUGCAAAUAUAAGGCUGAACAGUUGGGCUCCUCUGGGAGCUUUCCACUGUGUUGGUGCUAGUUUGGAUCGUAAAUGUGCGUGCGCGCGCCCGCGCCCGCGCGCGCGCGGAAAAACCGGGUAUUUCCCUGAAAGAGUUGAGUUGACACCAAGAGGUCACUCCCCUGAGGAGACGGCUACAGGGCGGUGAUUCGCCUCCGGGAUGGUGGCGGCGAUUCCGUGCACCCUCCUGCUGUUGGACAUCAGUUAUAUUUCAGGCUUUCAAAGUAAACGACGAACUCAGCACUUUGGCAGAGUCCAAAAUCCGCCAGCGAACUUGGGUGCUAGAGAGUUCGGCGGGAAGAAAAGGUGACUCAGAGAUACACCGCAUUUUUCUGGCACUUUCCACCGAGGAUACUCUAAUAAACGGGGGAGGGGGGAAGAGGGAGGGAAGGAGAGGAACACCCUCCUCCUCUUCCAGAAACUGCACCUCAGCCUGAGAUUUGGGUAUUAUUUUACCUGUAUUUAUAAAAACCACCACCGCACUCCUUGCACCAACUACCCAACUGCCUCGACUUCCAUUAAAAGCAGCUACUAAGACUAAAGAGAGGGAAAGACUAAGGGCGGGGUGGGGGGAGAGACAAAUAAAUAAAUAAAAGAGAGUGCGAGGGGGGAAGGGGAGAGAAGGGAGAGGGAGCGCCUGGGACUCGAGACGGCGGCAGGUUCAAUUAGCUAAACAAAGAAAUCAUGGCGGAUUGUUUACAUUUGGCAGCGCCCGGGCUGCGCCGACCGCCGGCCCCAAGCCGCCGCGGGCCCCGAGGAGUCGGCCGAGCUGCUCCCGCGCCCUAGCCGGUGUAAGCCUCAUGUAUGAGUCAUGGAUGAAAAAUCAAGGACAGAAGAGCCCGUGGGUCCACAAUCACACUUUUCCUGGGGACUGCAGGAGCUGCCUGGGACACCCUCUCCUUUCAGAAGAUGUGUCCCUAACACAGAGGGUGCCCAUGUUGCAGUCAGGCUUCCCAUGUCUAGCCACAGAUGACAUCUUCAUGUCUAUCAGGCUCCUCC